UGAUAAGAGAUCUGGAGAACAAAACAUAUAAAGAGAGGUUGAAGGAGCUGGUCAUGUUUAGCUUGGUGAAGAGAAGAUUGAAAGGUGUAAAGCAAAAGAGAAGACCCUCCAGCACACAGAGAGAUUCAAGGGGGAAACCUCCAUGUAUUCCAAAGAGAUGUGAGAAUCCCAGAGGAGAUGCAGGCCCUCACAGAUUUAAGAGAUUCCACAGACUCCAGAGAUAUUCCAGAGAGAUCUCCAGAAGGAAGGAGACAAGGAAAAAUUCCCCAAGCAAGAGAUCAGAAUCUCCAAAAUCCCCUUUACCUAAAACCUACUUCUCUACUUUAUUUGGAUUUUUAUUCACAUCAGAGAGUGAGGAAAUCCAUGUGUGUCAUGCUCCCUUUAAGCCCCAUUCAUGGUCUCCUUAGAUUGGUCAGGAAUCGGGUUUUUAAAGAACAACUUGUUAGGUUUCCAU
rnacentral:lncRNA from 11 species